UGAGUAACCUGCCCUUAACUCUGGGAUAAGCCUGGGAAACUGGGUCUAAUACCGGAUAUGACUCCUCAUCGCAUGGUGGGGGGUGGAAAGCUUUAUUGUGGUUUUGGAUGGACUCGCGGCCUAUCAGCUUGUUGGUGAGGUAAUGGCUCACCAAGGCGACGACGGGUAGCCGGCCUGAGAGGGUGACCGGCCACACUGGGACUGAGACAUGGCCCAGACUCCUACGGGAGCAG
rnacentral:rRNA from 1 species